rnacentral:lncRNA from 1 species
GAAAAGAGUGUUAGUGUCAAAGAGAGAUUGUCUUAUGUUUGGUAUUAGUGUUGACGAGAGCCAUAGUUUUGAAAAAAAAACAAAAAUAAUAAUAAUAGAGAUGCCGAGAGGCUUUUGAUGUAAGGUAGUAAGAGUGCUCUGUUUUCUAGACAAAGAAACAGAGGAGUAUAAAGAAGAAGAAGAAGAAGCCGAGAGGCGUUCGGUGAGAAAAAAAAUUAGGGUUUAUUCCUGCUCUGAUACCAUGUCAAAGAGAUUAUGAAAGUAUAUUGUAUUUAGUUUUGCAUGACCAAAAGGUCUAUAUAUAUACAAAACGAAUUGUCUAGUAAAAG